rnacentral:rRNA from 1 species
AGAGAUGUGUGAUGACGCAUAUCAAUAAGCGGAGGAAAAGAAACUAACAAGGAUUCCCUUAGUAACGGCGAGUGAAGCGGGAAGAGCUCAAAUUUGAAAUCUUCAAGGUUCUACCUUGACGAAUUGUAGUUUAUAGAAGUGUUUUCUGUUAGUAGAGUGGCAAAAGUUCUUUGGAAUAGGACAUCAUAGAGGGUGAGAAUCCCGUAUUUGGACCAUUAUUUCCUAGCUUUGUGAUACACUUUCAAAGAGUCGGAUUGUUUGGGAAUGCAGUCCAAAAUGGGUGGUAAAUUUCAUCUAAAGCUAAAUAUUGGCGAGAGACCGAUAGCGAACAAGUACCGUGAGGGAAAGAUGAAAAGAACUUUGAAAAGAGAGUUAAACAGUACGUGAAAUUGUCAAAAGGGAAGCGUUUGACACCAGUGUUGUUUUUCCGAAAAUCAAUUACGAAUGUUUUAUUUUUGAGAAGUUAUGACUUCAUCGGCUUGCUUCUCUCUUUAUGAAACUUUCUUAAUGCACUUUUCGGUUAACAAGUCAACAUCAAUUUCUUUUGUUGUAAAAGGGUAUGAGGAAGGUGGCUUUCUUUUCGGAGAAAGUGUUUAUAGCCUUGUACCUCUGCAAUCGGAGAGAUUGAGGUCUGCAGCGUAGAUCCUUCGGGGUUAGAUACAUUUGUGCUAAGUUAUAGCCUUUCAGUAGACAACUUGUUGACUAUGAUCAGUCAUGUAGCUUACUCGCUUAUGUCUAUUUUACCUACGCUUAGGAUGUUGAAGAUGUAGCACAUCAU